GACGAACCGUGCGAACGUUGUUCGGAAUCACUGGGCUUAAAGGGCGCGUAGGCGGGCCGCUAGGUCCGUGGAGAAAGCUUCCGGCUCAACCGGAAACACGCCGCGGAUACCGACGGUCUGGAGGCGGGCAGGGGCGCGUGGAACUCCCGGUGGAGCGGUGAAAUGUGUUGAGAUCGGGAGGAACGCCGGCGGCGAAAGCGGCGCGCUGGGCCCGUCCUGACGCUGAGGCGCGAAAGCCAGGGGAGCGAACGGG
rnacentral:rRNA from 1 species